ACCUGUGGACAAUAUGGCUGUGAGAAAAGAGCAGCAACAAGCAGACAACAGCAACACUGCUGGCUGAGAGACCAAGUGGAACACAAGAGAGGUGGUUUUCUGGGCUGCAAAACUGAUGGAUUAACAAAAAACCCCACAGAAAUCAAAAGCCAGUGCUGCCCUGCCUUGCUUGCAACCUUGCUCUCCCUGUAGAACAGCCCAGUGCUGCGGCCUUGUGCCCAGCCCAACUGGCUCCAGCAUGGCUGCAGGUCUGGGAGCUGCCAUUAACAUCACCAUCACCUAUCAGGGCACUGAGCUCAUCCCACAGUCUGCAUCAGAGCAGAGACAGUUUUAGCACACAGCAAAAUCAAACCAAGAACCAAGGAUUGAAGCAAUUAAGGAAAGGAAAAGCGGAGAGUAAAGAAAACCAAUCUUCAGAGUAAAAAAUAUAAAUAAACAAAAACAGAUUGGAACACAGAAAUUAAAAGUUACUGUAAUUAAGAGAACUGACCAAAACACUGGAAUGAAA